ensembl:snRNA U6 U6 spliceosomal RNA
GUCCUCGGUUUGGCAGCAUAUAUACUAAAAUUGGAACGAUAUAGAGAUUAGCACAGCCCCUGCACAAGGAUGACACGCAAAUUUGUGAAGCAUCCCAUGUUUUU